ACGGGAGGCAGCAGUGGGGAAUAUUGCACAAUGGGCGAAAGCCUGAUGCAGCGACGCCGCGUGAGCGAUGAAGUAUUUCGGUAUGUAAAGCUCUAUCAGCAGGGAAGAAUAAUGACGGUACCUGACUAAGAAGCACCGGCUAAAUACGUGCCAGCAGCCGCGGUAAUACGUAUGGUGCAAGCGUUAUCCGGAUUUACUGGGUGUAAAGGGAGCGCAGGCGGUACGGCAAGUCUGAUGUGAAAGCCCGGGGCUCAACCCCGGUACUGCAUUGGAAACUGUCGAACUAGAGUGUUGGAGGGGUAAGUGGAAUUCCUAGUGUAGCGGUGAAAUGCGUAGAUAUUAGGAGGAACACCAGUGGCGAAGGCGGCUUACUGGACGAUAACUGACGCUGAGGCUCGAAAGCGUGGGGAGCAAACAGGAUUAGAUACCCUGGUA
rnacentral:rRNA from 1 species